rnacentral:lncRNA from 1 species
GGUGAGGGCAUAUAUGAACUGAAUGAUGGAAGAUCCAGGAUCGAAAAUGAUGAUGAGCAAUAUCAUCUGGUACCUCCGCUAUGCAAUGCAGGUGCUUUUGAUGAUGAGGGAUGCAUGAAAUGUGAAGGAGUGGACUUUAUAGUGCCAUGGCUAUGAUCAUGGAUAUUGAUGGAGAUACGAGUAUGCUGUCGGAUGGCGUAGAGGCCUAAAGUACAAAUAUCUUGGAUGAGCUGUC